rnacentral:rRNA from 1 species
GACGAACGCUGGCGGCGUGCUUAACACAUGCAAGUCGAACGGAAAGGCCCUGCUUUUGUGGGGUGCUCGAGUGGCGAACGGGUGAGUAACACGUGAGUAACCUGCCCUUGACUUUGGGAUAACUUCAGGAAACUGGGGCUAAUACCGGAUAGGAGCUCCUGCUGCAUGGUGGGGGUUGGAAAGUUUCGGCGGUUGGGGAUGGACUCGCGGCUUAUCAGCUUGUUGGUGGGGUAGUGGCUUACCAAGGCUUUGACGGGUAGCCGGCCUGAGAGGGUGACCGGCCACAUUGGGACUGAGAUACGACCCAGACUCCUACGGGAGGCAGCAGUGGGGAAUAUUGCACAAUGGGCGGAAGCCUGAUGCAGCAACGCCGCGUGCGGGAUGACGGCCUUCGGGUUGUAAGCCGCUUUCGCCUGUGACGAAGCGUGAGUGACGGUAAUGGGUAAAGAAGCACCGGCUAACUACGUG